GGUGCUUCUUCUUCGGAAGAAGUAACCCGGCGGACGGCUCAGUAACACGUGGAUAACUUGCCCUUGGGUCCGGGAUAACCCCUGAGAAAUUGGGGACAAUACCGGAUAGGGCAUCGAUAGCUGGAAUGCGCGAUGUCCAAAAGCUGAGGCGCCCAAGGAUAGGUCUGCGGCCGAUUAGGUUGUUGUUGAUGUAAUGGAUCAACAAGCCUGCAAUCGGUACGGGUUGUGAGAGCAAGAGCCCGGAGAUGGGUUCUGAGAAAAGAACCCAGGUCCUACGGGACGCAUCAGGCGCGAAAACUUUACAAUGUGCGAAAGCACGAUAAGGGAACUCUGAGUGCCUCCUAUGGAGGCUGUUCAGGUGUCUAAAAAGCACUUGAAGUAAGGGCUGGGUAAGACCGGUGCCAGCCGCCGCGGUAACACCGGCAGCCCAAGUGGUAGCCACGAUUAUUGGGUCUAAAGCGUCCGUAGCCGGCCAGGUAAGUUCUUUGGGAAAUUUAACCGCUCAACGGUUAAGCUUUCAGGGAAUACUGCUUGGCUUGGGACCGGGAGAGGUCAGAGGUACUUCAAGGGUAGGGGUGAAAUCCGUUAAUCCUUGAGGGACCACCAGUAGC
rnacentral:rRNA from 1 species